UUGCUCUUCAACGAGGAAUCCCUAGUAAGCGCAAGUCAUCAGCUUGCGUUGAUUACGUCCCUGCCCUUUGUACACACCGCCCGUCGCUACUACCGAUUGAAUGGCUCAGUGAGGCUUUCGGACUGGCCCAGAGAGGUGGGCAACUACCACUCAGGGCCGGAAAGUUAUCCAAACUCGGUCAUUUAGAGGAAGUAAAAGUCGUAACAAGGUCUCCGUUGGUGAACCAGCGGAGGGAUCAUUACUGAGUUACCGCUCUAUAACCCUUUGUGAACGUACCUAACCGUUGCUUCGGCGGGCAGGGGAAGCCUCUCGCGGGCCUCCCCUCCCGGCGCCGGCCCCCACCACGGGGACGGGGCGCCCGCCGGAGGAAACCAAACUCUAUUUACACGACGUCUCUUCUGAGUGGCACAAGCAAAUAAUUAAAACUUUUAACAACGGAUCUCUUGGUUCUGGCAUCGAUGAAGAACGCAGCGAAAUGCGAUAAGUAAUGUGAAUUGCAGAAUUCAGUGAAUCAUCGAAUCUUUGAACGCACAUUGCGCUCGCCAGCAUUCUGGCGAGCAUGCCUGUUCGAGCGUCAUUUCAACCCUCAAGCACCGCUUGGUUUUGGGGCCCCACGGCCGACGUGGGCCCUUAAAGGUAGUGGCGGACCCUCCCGGAGCCUCCUUUGCGUAGUAACUAACGUCUCGCACUGGGAUCCGGAGGGACUCUUGCCGUUAAACCCCCAAAUUCUUUACAGGUUGACCUCGGAUCAGGUAGGAAUACCCGCUGAACUUAAGCAUAUCAAUAAGCGGAGGA
rnacentral:rRNA from 1 species